AGACUAUAAAGUAUGCGGCGAAAAAUCCAAUGCACCCACCAAGGAUGUCCAUUUUAGUUGCAAUGCAUCUGAAAAGAAAAAAGAAACUUGAAAUGAAAAUCAACGUACCAAAGUAACCCCACAAGAUGAAGAGAGUUAUUAUGAUCUGUGUUGGUGCUGACCAAGUAUGAUUGAGUUGUUUGAUGAAUUCGCAUAUUCGAGUGACGUCAACGGACAUGAAAUUAACUAUAUCACCUCCGCUGUAUUGUUUCCUAGCUUCAUUGGAUAAUUUCAACGUCUGUGUGAUCGAAUUUCAACUCGGUGAUCAAAUUUAAACAAAUGAAUUCGUUGCUAGCUGCAAAAGUUUUAUCGCAAUGGAAAAAUACUUCGGAUUUUUUAAAAAGUCGGUCAUGAGUUGAACAGAGUUACUUAUCGUAAGUACCUAUUUAUGUGAAUAGGAACUAGUAAAAUGCUUGUACAACCUCGUGUUUACAACUCGCGAUAUCUUUAGCUUUGAAAAAAUGUGUUAAAAUUGUGGACUCAUAUUGGUUGGUACAAUGGUACAUAGUCAAGUUUUUUUUUUUUUUUUUUUUUUUUUUGCAUGAAUUUUGUCACAAUAGUUAGAUAGGAAUCUGACAUUUGAAAUAAAAUAGGUGCACAUGUAGCAAAAUUGAAAUGAAAAGUAGAGUCAAUAAUAAUGAAGGAAAGCAUUCCACUUAUGAUUCCACCAGAUGUUUUAACCCACCACGUGUUGUCAGGAUGAGGAGAAGAUUGAUCUAUACAAGAUACAGUUCUCAGUUUACACUUCCUGAUGAAAAGAAAAAUGUUGCUGUUGCUUAAUUGCAUUCCAGCAAAGCAUACUUCUUAGUUCCUAUCUAAAUUAUAUUCCGUAUCUUUGAGUUUGGGCAUCAGUUAUCACUUGAAUACGAGUUUCCCAGCAUGAAAAUGUUAUCCUAAAAAUUUCAAAUCAUGUGUACCUAAAUAAUUUGAAAGUUUUUUUUUAAAAAAAAAAGUGUUUCUUUACAAAAAUUAUGUCUCCAACUAGGUACAGUAAAUUUUGAAAUUUUUAAUUUUGUGUAGGAAGAUACAUACCUACCUUUCAAAUACUCGUAGUUUGAUUACAAAAAAUAAAUAUUUUCAAUAACGAAUUGAUUUUUUAAUUAAGAUAAACACAUGGACCAUAAGCUUACGUAGUUAGUGCGUAAUCGAGUACAUUAUUACCAUACACACCCUAAGUAUAAUUUUUACUCUUGCGUAUACGAUAUGGGGUGGGGGGGAGGCACCUGCUUAUUUAUGAUUCAAAGUCGAUCAAUCAAACCACCUGAAUAAAGACAAUGAUCAAGUUUUUAUUUUUUUUCUCACUCUAAGUAGAUACCUACAGUUUUUAAAAAAACAAGUGGAACCGUUCGUUUUACGAUAGGAGAAACGACAGUCAUUCUGCUUAUUUAAUGCUUUUUAUUUAUAUCACUAUCAUAACUGUCUCAAAACGAAAUCACGUUUUGGCUUGUCGACAAGAGGUAGAGGUAAGGGAGGGUUAAUCAGUUGAUACCAUAAAAAUCACAGUAUAAAUAAACACCGUUAAACGUAAUUUUGCAAAUUUCAAGGAAAAACGAGUAUUUAAUUUUUGAUAAUUUCACGACCAAAAAGAAUAAACAUUUUAAAAGUACGUAUGCAAAGAUAUGUAAAAUGCUGCUAACUAAUUGUUGGAAUAUAAUUUGUAAUUAUAAUUUUAAUAUCUACGUAUUAAUAAGUAGAGAUCUAAAUUCAAUUCUUCGUUCACUCACCCAGAAAGGAGAAUCGCAUAAAUUCUUCAUUAUAUCGGCGAUUUGAGCUAAGAAAUUUCAUCGAUGAACGAAGUUAUGAUUAAAAUUUUACCCGGUACUCGCGAACACUUGUUUAUUAAAUAAUUUCGUUCACUCUACUGACGUUGAGUUGAAAUAUAAAAUUAUAAAACUUGUUUGUAAUAUACUGAAACGAUAACGCGCGAACAUGUGACCCAUAAGAAGGGAUUAUACCUACUUGCUUCAGUUUUUUUUUCGCGUUAGUUAUCGUUUAUCUCUUUAUAAUGAAAGUAUUGUAGGUAUAAUUAUAAAUUGGCGAAUUAAAGUGCGUUUCAAAUAUUUCAAAUGAUAACGCAUCGUGUAAAUUAAAAGUACAUUAGCUCGAGAAUAUUGAAAUCAAAAGUGGUGCGCUAAUAAUCGAUCAUUGUUUAUAUCACGUAGAGUUUAUUAUACUCAUUACUCGUACAUACGUAAUACCGCGUAGACUGCAUUAAUGUAGACAUUAUGUUAACGAAAUACGAGAACUUCUCACUUGCGGCCAUGUACACAAUGUAUCGUAUUAUAAUUACAUUAGACUAAUAUUUUAGCAUC